UUAUGUUGGAUGUUGAAAUAUUGGUUGUUUAAUUAUAAAAUGUUAUGUUGGUUGUUUAGUAGUGCAUAAUGAAUGCAAAUCCAAUGUGUGGAUGUCGGCACACAGUUGGAAAAAAGUGUGUCCAGUCUUAAAAGACAGUUCUUUUGACGUAGACUACGGUAGUAAGACAAAUCAGUCUCGUUUCUCGUCAUACUAAUCAACACAAAUAAUUGACUUGAUCAUAUGUUUUAAUAAGUGGCCAUCAUUGUUCAUUGUUUCGUGGAGGAAUUGUACUAUAACUUAUUCUGAAACAAAAGAAUAAUUAGCUAGGCCUCCACUCUCCAGACUUUGUGAUUGAAGAUGCAGAAAACUAAAGCACAUGAUAUAGCAGCAUUAGCUUUAUUUAUCAUCUUACUAGUAGUUAUCUUCGCACCAGAAUUUGCAGUAUCAGCGAACGAUGGCUUACUAAAAGAAGAAUCGUGGUUUUCCAAUUACUACAAGGUAAGUGAAGGUAGCACAAAGAUUGCAACUGAGGGGAGUCUACAGAAAAGAAGAUCUAGAAGAGGGUGGCCGCCGCCACUGCCGCCGAUCCGAGCACCAUAUGCAGUACCGACCCCAGGGCCAGCACGUAGACCGCCACCACCACCACCACCACAACUGCCACCAUCAGCAAGCCAAAGGGUUCCACUACCCCCUCCUAGUUCCUAGUCUCACAUCAUCUUUUAUUUGAGAAGUUGGUGGCCGAUAUUAUUAUCUUUGCCGAAGUUCCUUGUCUACUAUAAAGAUAUUAUUGAUGCAUGUUAAGAUCUUGUAGAAUAACAAGUCAUGCAUAAGUUUUUGUAAUGGGAUGAUGGAUUUUAUUUGCUUUAUGUAUUAUUAUUAUUUAUUGUAUAACUUUAUAAUGAAUUGAUGGAAAUGGUGAUUUUGAAGAAAAUCACAACAAUUGGUCACUAGACCAGCUAGUAAUUAAGCUCAUGUUGUAAGACCAAAUUUUUAUUUGGAAUUUUUAUAUUAAAUGUUAUAUGUUUAUAUAAAA